rnacentral:rRNA from 1 species
CCUUAGAUGUUCUGGGCCGCACGCGUGCUACACUGAGUGGAUCAGCGGGUCAGGUUGCGCGAAAGUGUUUCCUAAUCUUUAAAUCCGCUCGUGAUGGGGAUUGACGGUUGCAAUUUUCCGUCAUGAACGAGGAAUACCUUGUAAGCGCGGGUCAUCAUCCCGCGCUGAAUACGUCCCUGCCCUUUGUACACACCGCCCGUCGCUCCUACCGAUUGAGUGGUCCGGUGAGGCUUUGGGAUCUGAGCGGAAAGAGCGUUUCGCUGUUUCUGCCCGGAAAACUCAGUCGAACCUUAUCAUUUAGAGGAAGGAGAAGUCGUAACA